GCUAUGCAGACUAGGGAUCGGGUGUUGUUCUUUUAUUGACGCACUAGGCACCUUACGAGAAAUCAAAGUCUUUGGGUUCUAGGGGGAGUAUGGUCGCAAGGCUGAAACUUAAAGGAAUUGACGGAAGGGCACCACCAGGAGUGGAGCCUGCGGCUUAAUUUGACUCAACACGGGGAAACUCACCAGGUCCAGACACAAUAAGGAUUGACAGAUUGAGAGCUCUUUCUUGAUUUUGUGGGUGGUGGUGCAUGGCCGUUCUUAGUUGGUGGAGUGAUUUGUCUGCUUAAUUGCGAUAACGAACGAGACCUUAACCUACUAAAUAGUGCUGCUAGCUUUUGCUGGUAUAGUCACUUCUUAGAGGGACUAUCGAUUUCAAGUCGAUGGAAGUUUGAGGCAAUAACAGGUCUGUGAUGCCCUUAGACGUUCUGGGCCGCACGCGCGCUACACAGGCGGAGCCAGCGAGUUUAUACCUUGGCCGAGAGGUCUGGGAAAUCUUGGCUUCACCGUCGUGC
rnacentral:rRNA from 1 species